rnacentral:rRNA from 1 species
GAGCGGGUGUAGCAAUACAUCAGCGGCAGACGGGUGAGUAACGCGUGGGAACGUACCUUUUGGUUCGGAACAACCCAGGGAAACUUGGGCUAAUACCGGAUAAGCCCUUACGGGGAAAGAUUUAUCGCUGAAGGAUCGGCCCGCGUCUGAUUAGCUAGUUGGUGGGGUAAUGGCCCACCAAGGCGACGAUCAGUAGCUGGUCUGAGAGGAUGAUCAGCCUCACUGGGACUGAGACACGGCCCAGACUCCUACGGGAGGCAGCAGUGGGGAAUAUUGGACAAUGGGCGCAAGCCUGAUCCAGCCAUGCCGCGUGGGUGAUGAAGGCCCUAGGGUUGUAAAGCCCUUUCGGCGGGGAAGAUAAUGACGGUACCCGCAGAAGAAGCCCCGGCUAACUUCGUG